UCCCAGACUCCUACGGGAGGCAGCAGUGGGGGAUAUUGCACAAUGGGGGGAACCCUGAUGCAGCGACGCCGCGUGGGUGAAGGAGUAUUUCGGUAUGUAAAGCCCUAUCGGCAGGGAAGAAAUUGGACGGUACCUGACUAAGAAGCCCCGGCUAACUACGUGCCAGCAGCCGCGGUAAUACGUAUGGUGCAAGCGUUAUCCGGAUUUACUGGGUGUAAAGGGAGCGCAGGCGGCACGGCAAGCCUGAUGUGAAAGCCCGCGGCCCAACCGCGGGACUGCAUUGGGAACUACCGGGCUGGAGUGCCGGAGAGGUAGGCGGAAUUCCUAGUGUAGCGGUGAAAUGCGUAGAUAUUAGGAGGAACACCAGUGGCGAAGGCGGCUUACUGGACUGUAACUGACGUUGAGGCUCGAAAGCGUGGGGAGCAAACAGGAUUAGAUACCCUCGUA
rnacentral:rRNA from 1 species